UACGAAGGGGGCUAGCGUUGCUCGGAAUCACUGGGCGUAAAGCGCACGUAGGCGGGGCCUUAAGUCAGGGGUGAAAUCCCGGAGCUCAACUCCGGAACUGCCUUUGAUACUGGGGAUCUUGAGUCCGGAAGAGGUGAGUGGAACUCCGAGUGUAGAGGUGAAAUUCGUAGAUAUUCGGAAGAACACCAGUGGCGAAGGCGGCUCACUGGUCCGGUACUGACGCUGAGGUGCGAAAGCGUGGGGAGCAAACAGG
rnacentral:rRNA from 1 species